AUGUGUUUAGAUACAUAAUUGAUACUCAUUCUCAUACAAACUCCUUCUUAUCUUUUUCAGACUGGUAAAAAACUGUUCCUGGCCCAGUUCUGACACAUGGACAACUGGAAUAGCUUUGCUGAAGCUUAAAAAUGAGGGUAUUGUUCUUGUCUGCCAGAUACAGGACAAUUCAUCUCUUUCCCUAUGCCCAGGAAGAGGCAUGAAGCAGAAAAGAGCUAUACAGGCCUUUCUUCCUUUGAAGGUGUAGAUAAAGUUGAGAUUACCAGUCAUCUUUCUCAAGAAGAAAGAGCCUGCUUGAAAAAGAUGAAGACCUGAUGACUUGAUACCAGAACCACUGCUAGACUUCUAAGUUGU
rnacentral:lncRNA from 1 species